GACGAACGCUGGCGGCGUGCUUAACACAUGCAAGUCGAACGGAAAGGCCCUGCUUUUGUGGGGUGCUCGAGUGGCGAACGGGUGAGUAACACGUGAGUAACCUGCCCUUGACUUUGGGAUAACUUCAGGAAACUGGGGCUAAUACCGGAUAGGAGCUCCUGCUGCAUGGUGGGGGUUGGAAAGUUUCGGCGGUUGGGGAUGGACUCGCGGCUUAUCAGCUUGUUGGUGGGGUAGUGGCUGACCAAGGCUUUGACGGGUAGCCGGCCUGAGAGGGUGACCGGCCACAUUGGGACUGCGAUACGGCCCAGACUCCUACGGGAGGCAGCAGUGGGGAAUCUUGCACAAUGGGCGGAAGCCUGAUGCAGCAACGCCGCGUGCGGGAUGACGGCCUUCGGGUUGUAAACCGCUUUCGCCUGUGACGAAGCGUGAGUGACGGUAAUGGGUAAAGAAGCACCGGCUAACUACGUG
rnacentral:rRNA from 1 species